rnacentral:rRNA from 1 species
AGCAUAUCACUGAGCGCAGGAGAAGAAACUAACCAGGAUUUCCCUAGUAACGGCGAGCGAACCGGAAAGAGCCCAGCUUGAAAAUCGUGGCGCCCCGGCGCCUCGAAUUGUAGUCUGGAGAAGGUCCCUCUGCGGCGCGCCGGAUUCAAGUUCCCUGGAAUGGGACGUCCGAGAGGGUGAGAACCCCGUCGUAUCCGGAGUGCGUCGCUCCACGAGGACCUGUCUGCGAGUCGGGCUGUUUGGGAAUGCAGCCCUAAGCGGGUGGUAAAUUCCAUCCAAGGCUAAAUAUUGGCAAGAGACCGAUAGCGAACAAGUACCGCGAGGGAAAGAUGAAAAGGACUUUGAAAAGAGAGUUAAAAAGUGCUUGAAAUUGCUGGGAGGGAAGCGAAUGGAAGCUGCGGGUGCGCCCCGGUUGGAUGUGGAACGGCCGUCAAACGCUGGUCCGCCGCUCAACGCGGGGCGCUGGUCAGCGUGGGCCAUCGCGGCGGGACAAGAGCGGGGAUUCGCUUCCCGCCGAUGCCGCUGCGGUGGCCGAGGAACGAAGCGCGCGCCUUCCGGCGUGGGACUCGUCCCAACUGCGCGCUCGAGACGCUGGCGUAUUGAGCUCUUCAUCCGACCCGUCUUGAAACACGGACCAAGGAGUCUAACAUGUAUGCGAGCCGGUGGGCGGCAAACCCAUUGAGGCGCAAGUAACCUGACAGGUGGGACCCCGCUUGCGGGAGCACCAUCGACCGACCGUGAUCUUCUGUGAAGGGUUC